GACGAACGCUGGCGGCGUGCUUAACACAUGCAAGUCGAACGAUGAAGAAGAGAAACGCGAACUUCGGUUCAAAUUUCACUUCGGAUUAGUGGCAGACGGGUGAGUAACGCGUGAGCAACCUACCUCCUACAAAGGGAUAGCCUCGGGAAACCGUGAUUAAUACCAUAUGACACAUUCAUAAGGCAUCUUAAGAAUGUUAAAGCUACGGCGGUAAGAGAUGGGCCCGCGUCCCAUUAGCUAGUUGGUGAGGUAACGGCCCACCAAGGCGACGAUGGGUAACCGGCCUGAGAGGGUGACCGGUCACAUUGGAACUGAGACACGGUCCAAACUCCUACGGGAGGCAGCAGUGGGGAAUAUUGCACAAUGGAGGGAACUCUGAUGCAGCGACGCCGCGUGAGCGAUGAAGGAAUUCGUUUCGUAAAGCUCUGUUCUAUGGGAAGAAAAGGACUGUACCAUAGGAGAAAGCCCCGGCUAAAUACGUG
rnacentral:rRNA from 1 species